rnacentral:rRNA from 1 species
GACGAACGCUGGCGGCGUGCCUAAUACAUGCAAGUCGAACGAGAGCGCCCGGUGCUUGCACUGGUCAAUCUAGUGGCGAACGGGUGAGUAACACGUGGGUAACCUGCCCAUCAGAGGGGGAUAACAUCCGGAAACGGAUGCUAAAACCGCAUAGGUCUUCGAACCGCAUGGUUUGAAGAGGAAAAGAGGCGCAAGCUUCUGCUGAUGGAUGGACCCGCGGUGCAUUAGCUAGUUGGUGAGGUAACGGCUCACCAAGGCCGUGAUGCAUAGCCGACCUGAGAGGGUGAUCGGCCACAUUGGGACUGAGACACGGCCCAAACUCCUACGGGAGGCAGCAGUAGGGAAUCUUCCGCAAUGGACGCAAGUCUGACGGAGCAACGCCGCGUGAGUGAAGAAGGUUUUCGGAUCGUAAAACUCUGUUGCUAGAGAAGAACAAGUGCUAGAGUAACUGUUAGCGCCUUGACGGUAUCUAACCAGAAAGCCACGGCUAACUACGUG